UACGUAGGUGGCAAGCGUUGUCCGGAAUUAUUGGGCGUAAAGCGCGCGCAGGCGGAUCAGUUAGUCUGUCUUAAAAGUUCGGGGCUUAACCCCGUGAUGGGAUGGAAACUGCUGAUCUAGAGUAUCGGAGAGGAAAGUGGAAUUCCUAGUGUAGCGGUGAAAUGCGUAGAUAUUAGGAAGAACACCAGUGGCGAAGGCGACUUUCUGGACGAAAACUGACGCUGAGGCGCGAAAGCCAGGGGAGCGAACGGG
rnacentral:rRNA from 2 species